AUGAAGAAAAUCACGAUUAAAUCCUUAGCACACAGCAAAUCUGAACUCUGAAAUCUCAAAUCUGAUCGGUGGUUUACAAGUAUAUAAAUAGACUCUUCAAUAACAAAAUUGACUCAAACAAGGUUUCCUAAAUUGAAACAAACUCACUUUCUUGAUUCCUACUCCUACGGGAAUAAUAAAUAUAAAUUAACAAAAAUAAC